UUACUUGAAGAAAAUGAAAUCACUAAUUGCAGAGGAUAUGUGCACCCCCAUGUCCGUUGCAGCUCUGUUUACAGUAGCUGAGCUAUGGAGACAAGAUAGGGAAGGACCCUAAAGGCGCACCCAGGAGCGGAUGGGCGAAGGAACGCGAGGGUCCUGCUGAAUUAUCGCUAAAAACAGUUCCAGGGCAGAGACGGAUCUAGAAAGAGGCCAUGACACGGACAGGAGGCGUGGACACAGGAGAAUUAAGGGUGGAUGAAGCAGAGACACGAAGACCAGCGUGGACAUUUCCUAAUUGGUCCCGAGUGUGCUUCCACUGACCCCUCCCAUUCAGCCCCGAGGGCUCCAGUGAGGAGACCCGUGCAGACAGGGCCCUCCUACACAGGCGGGGCCGAAGGAGUCCCAGGCCCACGCUAAGGAGGCCCGUGUGCUUGCGGGAGGAGGCCGAAGAUGCCUGGGCACUUCUUACGGGGUGGAGACAGAGAAAUCCUUUGCUGCCACGUCCCAUCUUGAUUGGGUGAGAUCCUCCUGGUCGUCGUCUCAGCUUGGUGGUGUAUCUUGGGUCCUCAUUCCUCUGUCCGGAGACGCCUCCUCGAAGGUGGUGGCUGCAGCCGAGACGAUGGUUCCUCACCGUCUUUGCCCCCUUCCUCAGGACGGGAGGCCCCCCCAGGGCUCCCCCAGCGUGCCCCCCCCCCCUCCACGCCUACCGUGUGCUCUUCCCGAUGCCUAAGUAGAGUGAGAUGCUCUCAGGAGGUGGCCGUUCCUCUUUACUUGUCCAGCCUGAGACUGUGGCCCUUCUUGGCUUCCGCGGUAUCUGCUCUCGAGCGGAGUUGCAAGAUCUUUCUCCACGUGAAAUCUUCCACUCGCAGAAGCUACCGUCCGGAAGGCCAUGGGCCGCCUGGAAUGUUUACUGAGAGCCAGUCAUUGCCCCAAGGGUGGCCCGAGCACACACGCAACCACGGCUUGUCGUUUCCAAAGUGGAAGCCGGGGAGUCGGGCAGCGUCAGAGCACAGCCCUCCCCGGCUCAGGGGGUGGAGGCGGAGAGAUCUCUCAGUCUCUCUGACUGCGGAGCGGAGCUCAGCCUCAAGUCCCAGGGACAGAAACGCAGCGCACUCGCAAAGGUCUGAGCAAACGCGGCCCAACAAAGAGCGUUCCGGAAUCGGCAGGAAACGCGUUUGCUCCAGGAGCACCCGUCCUCCGGGCAGGCGUUUGUGGUUCUCACACGCUGCUCGCUGACCGUUCGCUUUUGGCCCCUUCCCAGCCCUGCGUAAAUAAAGACGAUUUAUCGCGUGAGACGCAGGACUUUCCCUUCAUAGAUCGCAAGAACGGAGUAACGGGAACGAGGAGAGGCCGAUUGUCUGGGAGAGGCAUGGAGUCACCUAACAGCACGGCCGCGAGCCGUAAAGGGAGGAGUUGGCAUCAGAACUGUCUGAGGGCACUCUCUGGGGUGAUGGAAAUGUCCUGUGAUGUAUGCUGUCCGGUGUGGUGGCCGUCGAGCACCUGAGAGGCGGCCAGCGCGACACAGGCCCUGAGUUUUUGACUGCGUGGCCUGUUGGUGAAUCUUAAGUGGCCGCACGUGGCCAGACGGCGUGGCUCCGAGCCACGGAGCCGCAGUGUCGCUCCCUCAGCUGUUACUCAGGGGAAGUUCUCUGAGCAGCCUCCACCUGCCCCAUGGGAGCUGACCGCGUGCGCCUGGUGCGGGUCACAGGCCACGGCCCCGCUGUGCAGAGAGGUUAAAGUGUCUGGGGGCCGAAGGACGAGGAAAGAGACGGGCUGGUGAGUGUGGAAGGUACCAGAACACCGGUGCGCGCACAGCAGGACCCUGAGGGUGUCUGAGGGGCGCUAGGAGGGCUGCACAGAAGCGUGAUGUGUAACCUCGUGUUUGGGAAGGGCUCCUGGAGUCCUGGGCCUGGUGCUCGCGGUCCGAAGGGACCCGGAAGCUGCGGCUGUAGCCCGCCCCCCUUUGACCCGCUUUGUGACUUUUCAUCAACGUCUGCAAACCAUACAAACACUUUUGUCUGUUUUGGUGUCGUCCACGAGCCCAUUAACCCAAUACCGACAGGAGGUGCGCUUUUCCCGCCGAUGAGCCCCCACGCGCCCAGUGUCUCCUGGUCAGCAAGAAGGCCCAGGGGGCAAAGUGGUGUCACUGGGAACGCAGAUGGGGUCUCCAAAGCAGGGUGUGAGUGGGUGGGCUUCAACAGAGAACAGGUGCGG